rnacentral:rRNA from 1 species
GGCUCAGAUUGAACGCUGGCGGCAGGCCUAACACAUGCAAGUCGAACGGUAACAGAAAGCAGCUUGCUGCUUUGCUGACGAGUGGCGGACGGGUGGGUAAUGUCUGGGAAACUGCCCGAUGGAGGGGGAUAACUACUGGAAACGGUAGCUAAUACCGCAUAACGUCGCAAGACCAAAGAGGGGGACCUUCGGGCCUCUUGCCAUCGGAUGUGCCCAGAUGGGAUUAGCUAGUAGGUGGGGUAACGGCUCACCUAGGCGACGAUCCCUAGCUGGUCUGAGAGGAUGACCAGCCACACUGGAACUGAGACACGGUCCAGACUCCUACGGGAGGCAGCAGUGGGGAAUAUUGCACAAUGGGCGCAAGCCUGAUGCAGCCAUGCCGCGUGUAUGAAGACGGCCUUCGGGUUGUAAAGUACUUUCAGCGGGGAGGAAGGGAGUAAAGUUAAUACCUUUGCUCAUUGACGUUACCCGCAGAAGAAGCACCGGCUAACUCCGUGCCAGCAGCCGCGGUAAUACGGAGGGUGCAAGCGUUAAUCGGAAUUACUGGGCGUAAAGCGCACGCAGGCGGUUUGUUAAGUCAGAUGUGAAAUCCCCGGGCUCAACCUGGGAACUGCAUCUGAUACUGGCAAGCUUGAGUCUCGUAGAGGGGGGUAGAAUUCCAGGUGUAGCGGGAAAAUGAGUAGAGAUCUGGAGGAAAUACCGGGGGCGAAGGGGGCCCCCUGGACGAAGACUGACGCUCAGGUGCGAAAAGCGUGGGGGAGCAAACAGGAUUAGAUACCCUGGUAGUCCACGCCGUAAACGAUGUCGACUUGGAGGUUGUGCCCUUGAGGCGUGGCUUCCGGAGCUAACGCGUUAAGUCGACCGCCUGGGGAGUACGGCCGCAAGGUUAAAACUCAAAUGAAUCGACGGGGGCCCGCACAAGCGGUGGAGCAUGUGGUUUAAUUCGAUGCAACGCGAAGAACCUUACCUGGUCUUGACAUCCACGGAAGUUUUCAGAGAUGAGAAUGUGCCUUCGGGAACCGUGAGACAGGUGCUGCAUGGCUGUCGUCAGCUCGUGUUGUGAAAUGUUGGGUUAAGUCCCGCAACGAGCGCAACCCUUAUCCUUUGUUGCCAGCGGUCCGGCCGGGAACUCAAAGGAGACUGCCAGUGAUAAACUGGAGGAAGGUGGGGAUGACGUCAAGUCAUCAUGGCCCUUACGACCAGGGCUACACACGUGCUACAAUGGCGCAUACAAAGAGAAGCGACCUCGCGAGAGCAAGCGGACCUCAUAAAGUGCGUCGUAGUCCGGAUUGGAGUCUGCAACUCGACUCCAUGAAGUCGGAAUCGUUAGUAAUCGUGGAUCAGAAUGCCACGGUGAAUACGUUCCCGGGCCUUGUACACACCGCCCGUCACACCAUGGGAGUGGGUUGCAAAAGAAGUAGGUAGCUUAACCUUCGGGAGGGCGCUUACCAC